GGAUGGACUACGACGAAGCUAAAAGAGGUUUUGACUCUCUCGACCUAAACGGUGAUGGGGUUGUACUGCCAGAGGAGUGGUUGACUGCCCGCGCAAAGAUUGACGCAAACAACGACGGAAACUUAACCGUUGAAGAGUAUACAGCUCUUCAUCAACCCGGGACACCCGAGAUUGUAAUCCAGGGUAAUUUCAACUACUACGACAAACUAGAUGGCGCUGAUGACGGCGUCAUCUCUCUUUCACUUUUUCCUGUGCUUUUUGACAUCCUCGACGCUGACAAUGACGGUGAAAUCACACUUGGAGAAUGGUUUAAGACUCUUCCACAGGUAAACGAUGACAUCCAAAACGAGAUUAUGGCCUUAUAUGCAGCUUAACAGGCUGAUACAUCCGACACCUGACAGAUGAACGAAGUUGGUGUUUUAGCAACCAAGGCUAUAUAACAGCAAGACACCUGACAGAGAAUUCUAAUAAAAUUCAAAAUGCUUGAAAUGAAC